AAGCAGCUACGGUAACUGGGAGGAUGCGGCACUGCUGCAGGUUUGGUUCAUGGAAGGGUUUGUUAUUCCAUUCCGGGAUCGGGUGGUAGUUCGUAACUUUAAGUCGGUGGAGGAUUUUCCAGAGGUGGUGCGGGGAAAGCUGCUUAAGGAAGUACAGCUCGGGAGGAUGGCGGGGAGUAUUGGGUUUGGGGCAUUAUUUGCAGGGUGUUGGUGUGCG